rnacentral:rRNA from 1 species
CUACGGGACGCUGCAGUGAGGAAUUUUGCGCAAUGGGCGAAAGCCUGACGCAGCAACGCCGCGUGAGUGAUGAAGGCCUUCGGGUCGUAAAGCUCUGUCAAGUGGGAAGAACCUAUGUAAUGUUAAUAUCAUUAUAUACUGACGGUACCACUGAAGGAAGCACCGGCUAACUCCGUGCCAGCAGCCGCGGUAAUACGGGGGGUGCAAGCGUUAUUCGGAAUCAUUGGGCGUAAAGGGCACGUAGGCGGCCUGGUAAGUCAGAUGUGAAAGCCCGGGGCUUAACCCCGGAAGUGCAUUUGAUACUGGCAGGCUUGAGUAUGGGAGAGGGAAGUGGAAUUCCUGGUGUAGAGGUGAAAUUCGUAGAUAUCAGGAGGAACACCGGUGGCGAAGGCGACUUCCUGGACCAAUACUGACGCUGAGGUGCGAAGGCGUGGGUAGCAAACAGGAUUAGAUACCCCUGUAGUC